AUGCUCCGUGAGAAGCAAGAGCAGCAAGCUAAAAGACAGGUAGGAGAGGCGAGUGAUCAAAUUGAAAAGUUCAAAUGGAGUGAAAUCUGGAAGUGUUGCUGCCCGCCAAAAAUGAAACAUUUUCUAUGGCGGCUAGCUCACAACAGUUUGCCUCAUCUACUGAAUAUUGCCAGGAAAGGGAUGGAACCUGAUACGAGAUGCCCAGUUUGUUUGCGGCUUGAUGAGGAUGGUGCUCAUACAUUUCUGAGAUGCAAGAAUGUGAAACAGGUGUGGAGAGAAAUGAAUCUAGAAAGGACACGCCAAGAACUGCUACUGUGUUGUGACUCAAAAGAGGUGGUGACUAAGAUAUUGGCCCUCCCGGACAAACAGAAAAGUGAUUGCAUCGCAAUGAUCUGGGUGUGGUGGGACACACGAAAUAAGAGAAAUGCAGGAGAGCCAAUGCGAAAUACGAUCUCAGUUAUGAAGAGAAUUAGCGCACAGUCGCGAGACUGCACUUUUCUGAAGGAAAAGAAUCUGAACCGAACGGUGAUGGAGAACACAUGGGCUGCCCCUGGGCAUGAAGCUAUCAAAAUUAAUGUUGACGGCAGCAUGCAAUCAGCCACAGCGACGGGAUGGCGGGGCUUUAGAGCAUCUACAACGGCCCCUCAAACCGUCUCAAACAUCCUGGCAAGCCAUCCGGUCAUGAUUGUUUGA
rnacentral:rRNA from 1 species